AAAGAAUCAGUUUUUGUGGCGCAUCAUAAUACCCUGUGACACCUCUCUCUCCUCUCCUCUCCUCCCUCCUUCUUCUUUCUCCUUCUUUCUCCUUAUUUCUUCUUCUUCCUUCUUCUUUUUCUUUCUUCUUCCUUCUUUUUCUUUCUCUUUUUCUCCUUUUUCUUCUCCUUUUCUUCUUCUCCUUUUCUUCUUCAUCUCCUUUUCUUCUUCAUCUUCGUCUUUGUCUUCUUCUUCCUCCUCCUUCUCCUUCUCUCUCUCUCUCUCUCUCUCUCUUUCUCUCUCUCUCAGCACGGAGCAUGUUUCUCUAACAAUUAAAAGACUAUGGCAGACCAGCAAAAGUAGGAACUAUUCCCACCUUCCCAGAGGCAGAGCCAUUCCCUCCAGGAGUAAAGUAACUUCGUUGGCCAUCUUCUCUCCCAACCAGUGA
rnacentral:lncRNA from 1 species